rnacentral:rRNA from 1 species
UAGAGUUUGAUCCUGGCUCAGGAUGAACGCUAGCGGCGGGCUUAACACAUGCAAGUCGAGGGGCAUCGGGAGGGAAGCUUGCUUUCCUUGCCGGCGACCGGCGCACGGGUGAGUAACACGUAUGCAACCUGCCCUCUUCAGGGGGACAACCUUCCGAAAGGGAGGCUAAUCCCGCGUAUAUCGGUUUCGGGCAUCCGAGAUCGAGGAAAGAUUCAUCGGAAGAGGAUGGGCAUGCGGCGCAUUAGCUUGACGGCGGGGUAACGGCCCACCGUGGCGACGAUGCGUAGGGGUUCUGAGAGGAAGGUCCCCCACACUGGUACUGAGACACGGACCAGACUCCUACGGGAGGCAGCAGUGAGGAAUAUUGGUCAAUGGGAGAGAUCCUGAACCAGCCAAGCCGCGUGAGGGAAGACGGCCCUAUGGGUUGUAAACCUCUUUUGUCGGAGAACAAAACCCGGGACGUGUCCCGGACUGCGUGUAUCCGAAGAAAAAGCAUCGGCUAACUCCGUGCCAGCAGCCGCGGUAAUACGGAGGAUGCGAGCGUUAUCCGGAUUUAUUGGGUUUAAAGGGUGCGUAGGCGGUCCGUUAAGUCAGCGGUAAAAUUGCGGGGCUCAACCCCGUCGAGCCGUUGAAACUGGCAGACUUGAGUUGGCGAGAAGUACGCGGAAUGCGCGGUGUAGCGGUGAAAUGCAUAGAUAUCGCGCAGAACUCCGAUUGCGAAGGCAGCGUACCGGCGCCAGACUGACGCUGAGGCACGAAAGCGUGGGGAUCGAACAGGAUUAGAUACCCUGGUAGU